rnacentral:lncRNA from 1 species
CCACAAGCGAACGCCAGGCGGUGGCACGUGUCAAUUUCCACAGAGUCCUGCUUUGCGGGGUGUCUGAAUGCACUGCACGGGGUCUCUGCUCACACUUGCUGGAACCAAUCGUGGCAGAUUUUAGUCCACAGGUCGCUUUUCCCCAUAUUUCUUUGUAAACUCUUCAGCAUUCUUACAGAAUUUUUUACGGUCCUUAGAGUAUUCUUCAGCUAGGUCAGCCCGAAGCGGGUGCUUGGGCUGGGGGUCAUUCACCAGUGCUAUGAGGGACUGGAUUACUUGGUCGGUUUUGGUUGCUGGCUUCCAGUUUUCAGCACUAAUUACUGGCAGACAGACCUGCCCCUUUUCGUCGAUGUUUGGGUGAUAGAUCUUUGUUUUAAAUGUGAUCUUCGGUGGUUUGAAUGGGUACUCUGCUGGAAAGUUGAUUUCUAUUCUGAAGGCCCCCUUAUCAUAUGGAGGGUUCUCCUUCAUCAGCCUCCUGCUGGCCGCCAUCUUGGAUUUGGUGCUGCUCCUUCCUCC